CAGGAAGUACAGCCUCUACUGCAAGACCAGCCUUGUCAACCACCUCCCCAUCUUCUGCUGGUACCAGUAAUGCUGUUAAGUUGCCCAUCAGUCACAUCAUGCUCUUUGUGACACUGACCAUCAUGGCUGCCAUAGUCACUAUUCACACAAGGAGGAUCCGCCCACCCAAGGCUCUGCCCCCACAAGCAGAAGAAGCCUCUGGUAUUGAGAUUCAUGUCCUGGAGGAAUGACCCC